rnacentral:rRNA from 1 species
AACGAACGCUGGCGGCCGGCUUAACACAUGCAAGUCGAACGCCCCGCAAGGGGAGUGGCAGACGGGUGAGUAACGCGUGGGAACAUACCCUUUCCUUCGGACUAGCUCCGGGAAACUGGAAUUAAUACCGCAUACGCCCUACGGGGGAAAGAUCUAUCGGGGAAGGGUUGGCCCGCGUUGGAGUAGCGAGUGGGUGGGGUAAAGGCCUACCAAGGCGACGAUCCAUAGCGGGUCUGAGAGGAUGAUCAGCCACAUUGGGACUGAGACACGGCCCAAACUCCUACGGGAGGCAGCAGUGGGGAAUAUUGGACAAUGGGCGCAAGCCUGAUCCAGCCAUGCCGCGUGAGUGUUGAAGGCCUUAGGGUUGUAAAGCUCUUUCACCGAUGAAGAUAAUGACGGUAGUCGGAGAAGAAGCCCCGGCUAACUUCGUGCCAGCCGCCGCCGUAAAAC